rnacentral:rRNA from 1 species
GUGGGGAAUUUUGGACAAUGGGCGCAAGCCUGAUCCAGCAAUGCCGCGUGCAGGAAGAAGGCCUUCGGGUUGUAAACUGCUUUUGUACGGAACGAAACGGUUCUCUCUAAUACAGGGGGCUAAUGACGGUACCGUAAGAAUAAGCACCGGCUAACUACGUGCCAGCAGCCGCGGUAAUACGUAGGGUGCAAGCGUUAAUCGGAAUUACUGGGCGUAAAGCGUGCGCAGGCGGUUUUGUAAGACAGGCGUGAAAUCCCCGGGCUCAACCUGGGAAUGGCGCUUGUGACUGCAAAGCUGGAGUGCGGCAGAGGGGGAUGGAAUUCCGCGUGUAGCAGUGAAAUGCGUAGAUAUGCGGAGGAACACCGAUGGCGAAGGCAAUCCCCUGGGCCUGCACUGACGCUCAUGCACGAAAGCGUGGGGAGCAAACAGGAUUAGAAACCCGGGUAGUCC